GACGAACGCUGGCGGCGUGCCUAAUACAUGCAAGUUGAGCGAUGAAGAUUGGUGCUUGCACCAAUUUGAAGAGCAGCGAACGGGUGAGUAACGCGUGGGGAAUCUGCCUUUGAGCGGGGGACAACAUUUGGAAACGAAUGCUAAUACCGCAUAACAACUUUAAACAUAAGUUUUAAGUUUGAAAGAUGCAAUUGCAUCACUCAAAGAUGAUCCCGCGUUGUAUUAGCUAGUUGGUGAGGUAAAGGCUCACCAAGGCGAUGAUACAUAGCCGACCUGAGAGGGUGAUCGGCCACAUUGGGACUGAGACACGGCCCAAACUCCUACGGGAGGCAGCAGUAGGGAAUCUUCGGCAAUGGACGAAAGUCUGGCCGAGCAACGCCGCGUGAGUGAAGAAGGUUUUCGGAUCGUAAAACUCUGUUGGUAGAGGAGAACGUUGGUGAGAGUGGAAAGCUCAUCAAGUGACGGUAACUACCCAGAAAGGGACGGCUAACUACGUG
rnacentral:rRNA from 1 species